rnacentral:rRNA from 1 species
GGUAGUCCACGCCGUAAACGAUGUCGACUUGGAGGUUGUGCCCUUGAGGCAUGGCUUCCGGAGCUAACGCGUUAAGUCGACCGCCUGGGGAGUACGGCCGCAAGGUUAAAACUCAAAUGAAUUGACGGGGGCCCGCACAAGCGGUGGAGCAUGUGGUUUAAUUCGAUGCAACGCGAAGAACCUUACCUACUCUUGACAUCCAGAGAACUUAGCAGAGAUGCUUUGGUGCCUUCGGGAACUCUGAGACAGGUGCUGCAUGGCUGUCGUCAGCUCGUGUUGUGAAAUGUUGGGUUAAGUCCCGCAACGAGCGCAACCCUUAUCCUUUGUUGCCAGCGGUUAGGCCGGGAACUCAAAGGAGACUGCCAGUGAUAAACUGGAGGAAGGUGGGGAUGACGUCAAGUCAUCAUGGCCCUUACGAGUAGGGCUACACACGUGCUACAAUGGCGCAUACAAAGAGAAGCGACCUCGCGAGAGCAAGCGGACCUCAUAAAGUGCGUCGUAGUCCGGAUUGGAGUCUGCAACUCGACUCCAUGAAGUCGGAAUCGCUAGUAAUCGUAGAUCAGAAUGCUACGGUGAAUACGUUCCCGGGCCUUGUACACACCGCCCGUCACACCAUGGGAGUGGGUUGCAAAAGAAGUAGGUAGCUUAACCUUCGGGAGGGCGCUUACCACUUUGUGAUUCAUGACUGGGGUGAAGUCGUAACAAGGUAACCGUAGGGGAACCUGC